rnacentral:rRNA from 1 species
GAUGAACGCUAGCGGCAGGCCUCAUACAUGCAAGUCGAGGGGCAGCGGGACACUUCGGUGUUGCCGGCGACCGGCGGACGGGUGCGUAAUGCGCAUGCAAUCUACUUUACACUGGGGAAUAGCCUCCGGAAACGGGAAUUAAUACCCCAUAUAAUCUUAUUAGCGCAUGUUAAAAAGAUGAAAGCUCCGGCGGUGUAAAAUGAGCGUGCGUCGUAUUAGCUAGUUGGUGAGGUAAUGGCUCACCAAGGCUACGAUGGGUAGGGGUUCUUAGUGGAAGGUCCCCCACACUGGCACUGAGAUACGGGCCAGACUCCUACGGGAGGCAGCAGUAGGGAAUAUUGGUCAAUGGGCGCAAGCCUGAACCAGCCAUGCCGCGUGCAGGAUGAAGGCUCUCUGAGUUGUAAACUGCUUUUGUACAGGAGCAAAAAAAUCCCUGCGGGGGUUCUUGAGAGUACUGUAAGAAUAAGCACCGGCUAAUUCCGUGCCAGCAGCCGCGGUAAUACGGGAGGUGCAAGCGUUAUCCGGUUUUAUGGGGUUUAAAGGGUGCGUAGGCGGCUUAUUAAGUCAGUUGUGAAAUCCUAGUGCUUAACGCUAGAACUGCGAUUGAUACUAUUAGGCUUGAGUUAAGAAGAGGUAA